UCCCUGGUGACUCAGAUAGUAAAGUGUCUGCCUGGAAUGCAGAAGACCCAGGUUUGAUCCCUGGGUUGGGAA
rnacentral:tRNA from 1 species